rnacentral:rRNA from 1 species
CCUACGGGAGGCAGCAGUGGGGAAUAUUGGGCAAUGGGCGCAAGCCUGACCCAGCAACGCCGCGUGAAGGAAGAAGGCCUUCGGGUUGUUAACUUCUUUUUACAGGGACGUAGAAAGUGACGGUACCUGAGGAUUAUGCCUCGGCUAACUACGUGCCAGCAGCCGCGGUAAUACGUAGGUGGCAAGCGUUCUCCGGAUUUAUUGGGUGUAAAGGGCGUGUAGGCGGGAGCGCAAGUCAGAUGUGAAAACUCAGGGCUCAACCCUGAGCCUGCAUUUGAAACUGUGUUUCUUGAGUGCUGGAGAGGCAAUCGGAAUUCGGUGUGUAGCGGUGAAAUGCGUAGAUAUACGGAGGAACACCAGUGGCGAAGGCGGAUUGCUGGACAGUAACUGACGCUGAGGCGCGAAAGCGUGGGGAGCAAACAGGAUUAGAUACCCCUGUAGUC